rnacentral:ncRNA from 1 species
GUUGAGCUUGCCUCCACUCUGGUACUGUAAGAAAACAUGAGAGAUGCGGAAUAAUUCGAAGGUAGUUUUUUCAAAUACCACUACUUUCAUAGUUUCCUUACUUACUUGGUGUGGUGGAGGGCGUCCGUCAGGAUGACUUAUACUAGUACCAAUGGUUGUCGACGUUCUUUCGUAUACAUUGUCGUGUUUAAGAUUACCAGACGUCUUAUUCGUUGUGCCAUGGCGAAUUAGGUUGUUUCGUUCGACAACAUACUCCUAGCGUGAUCCGAAGAUUCUACAAGGCGAGGAGCUUGACUAGGGAGGUAAGUCUGUCAAAAAAAUAACGCAGAUGUCCUAACUUCAGCUCAGCGAGGACAGAAACCUCGCGCAGAGCAAAAGGGCAAAUGCUGGCUUGACCCCAAUGCUCAGUUAGUCUGCGAAAGCACAGCCCAUCAAAACUUUUUAAAGUAAAAUUAUUGC